UGUUCCUAUUGCUCAAUAAAAUGUACUAUUGGAAAAGCGAGUGUAAGCAUUUUAGUUGUAGGAGAAAAAAAAGAGAGAGAAGGAGAAUGAGAGAGAGAGAGAGAGCUGGCUUCAAUUGUCUGUUUUUUCUAUUUAAUGGAGACACCAGGGACUAGAAAUAUCCCGGGGCUGGAUGCAGGCUAGAUUCAAGGAACUGGUUAACACAGAUAGCAAAGUCUUUGCAAGGAGCCAGGACCCAGUUUCACUUUCAACUAUGACAUUCUCAAUACAGUCCAAUCCCUAACAUGUGGGCAAAGAAAUUCCCAGUGGGAACUUGGAAUGAGGUUGGAAACUCUGAGGAGCGAGGCAAGAGUGUGACCUGGCUCCCUGGACCGCUGGCCUGGAGCCAGAUCCUCUGCUCCUUUUCAGAGAUGGAAUUGAGGCAGAGAAGAACUCACAGAGAGAAAAGAGACUUUUUUUGUUUUGUUUGUUUGGUUUGUUGUUGUGUCGGUGGUGGUGGCUCUUGGAGAGAAGCGUUGCCGCGCAUCAUCCCGGCCAUCAUCGAAUAAUGCUGUGGACUCUCCAUUCUGGGCUGUACAGCAGGGCUAACCUGUGUCUACCGCACAUCUCACUCACUUUUUCCUGUAGUCAAGUCCCUUUCCCUGCAGGGUGUUUGGAGCCACUUUCUACAUCAAUAUCAUCAGACUUCCUCGUUAGUUUGGUGGCAUGUUAUUCCGGGACAUAUCAGAGGAGACCCUUCUUGGGAAGUAGGUGCAGGAAGUAGUAAUAAUACCUUAAAAAAACCUCUCUCUUCUUGUUUCAAGUUAAUGUUUUUUAAAUUUGAUAUCUAUAUUUUCCCACUGUGACUGGUUUUGGGUUGUGGGAUUUUAAGGAAAUUCUCAAAAUACAGUGCCUAGCACAAAGUUAAUUAUUUACUGAGUGCCAAUGAGAGAGGGAUACAGAAGGAGAAAUGUCGUGGUCGUUGCCCAAAAGGAGCUUUUGUGUAGUUAGGAAAUAAAGCAGGCACACACAAGACCAUUAGUGAACAAAGCUCUACGACAUGAGCUAAUCGUUUGGAAUCAACGAGUGCCUCAGUCAAACCAAGCAACCAACCACUGUGGAUCGGAACUCCACGAAGAACAGGAACAUGGCUGGGUCCCAAAAGUGUAGAUCCCAUGUGUUUCAGGUGAUUUCGACUCCACUCUUGGCUCCAUGGGCAUGACAUGACCCUAACGCUGAACCAUCGGUGAAUGCUGCUCCUCUGGCCACAGCUGGUUCAGGGAUGAACACAGGACCCAGUUCAGGCUAAUCAGUGCUAAUAAGAUUCAAUACAAGGACUUUCUGAAUUAUCAGAGAUGAGGCCUCUUUUUUUAAUGGCAGCCGUUGUGCCUUCAUAAGGGACAAGCACGCCUGAGAAUGGAGCCAACUUAGGCAGGGAAGAGCUGAGAGAUGGAAAGAAACUGAAUCUGGUGACAUCAUUUGAGUCGCUGAAUUCAGCUGUGUCUGAAACCAUAUUCUCUGUACAUU
rnacentral:lncRNA from 1 species